GCAUAUCAAUAAGCGGAGGAAAAGAAACCAACAGGGAUUGCCCUAGUAACGGCGAAGUGAAGCGGCAACAGCUCAAAUUUGAAAUCUGGCCCUAGUGGUCCGAAUUGUAAUUUGUAGAGGAUGCUUUGGGCGCGGUGCCUUCCGAGUUCCUUGGAACAGGACGCCUUAGAGGGUGAGAGCCCCGUACGGUUGGACACCAAGCCUAUGUAAAGCUCCUUCGACGAGUCGAGUAGUUUGGGAAUGCUGCUCUAAAUGGGAGGUAAAUUUCUUCUAAAGCUAAAUACCGGCCAGAGACCGAUAGCGCACAAGUAGAGUGAUCGAAAGAUGAAAAGUACUUUGAAAAGAGGGUUAAAUAGCACGUGAAAUUGUUGAAAGGGAAGCAUUUAUUACCAGACCUUUGCUAGGUGGAUCAUCCGGUGUUCUUCACCGGUGCACUUCGCCUAGCUUAGGCCAGCAUCGAUUUCUGUAGGGGGAUAAAGGUCUAGGGAACGUAGCUCUCUUCGGAGAGUGUUAUAGCCCUGGGCGUAAUACCUUUACGGGGAUCGAGGUUCGCGCUUCGGCAAGGAUGCUGGCAUAAUGGUAAUCAAUGACCCGUCUUGAAACACGGACCAAGGAGUCGAACAUUUAUGCGAGUGUUUGGGUGUUAAACCCUCACGCGUAAUGAAAGUGAACGGAGGUGAGAGCCCUUAAGGGUGCAUCAUCGACCGAUCCUGAUGUCUUCGGAUGGAUUUGAGUAAGAGCAUAACUGUUCGGACCCGAAAGAUGGUGAACUAUGCGUGGAUAGGGUGAAGCCAGAGGAAACUCUGGUGGAGGCUCGCAGCGGUUCUGACGUGCAAAUCGAUCGUCAAAUCUGCGCAUGGGGGCGAAAGACUUAUCGAACCAUCUAGUAGCUGGUUACCGCG
rnacentral:rRNA from 1 species